GACUACAAGGGUAUCUAAUCCUGUUCGAUACCCACGCUUUCGUGCCUCAGCGUCAGUGUGGAGCCGGUACGCUGCCUUCGCAAUCGGGGUUCUGCGCGAUAUCUAAGCAUUUCACCGCUACACCGCGCAUUCCGCGUACUUCUCUCCAACUCCAGCCCGCCAGUUUCAACGGCUCGCCGGGGUUGAGCCCCGGGCUUUUACCGCUGACUUAACAGGCCGCCUGCGCACCCUUUAAACCCAAUAAAUCCGAAUAACGCUCGCAUCCUCCGUAUUACCGCGGCUGCUGGCACGGAGUUAGCCGAUGCUUUUUCUUCGGGUACUCUCACUUGUGGCCUCACGAGGCCUUUUUGCUCCCCGACAAAAGAGGUUUACAAUCCAUAGGACCGUCUUCCCUCACGCGACUUGGCUGGUUCAGGCUCUCGCCCAUUGACCAAUAUUCCUCACUGCUGCCACCCGUAGG
rnacentral:rRNA from 1 species